GAAGAGGGGCAUCUGUGGAUUUGGCCAAGUUGUUUGACCGGUUGAGACAACUCAGACUGAGGUUGAGUCCGAAUCAAUGCACUUAUGGAGUGCUGUCCGGUAAAAUGCUAAGGCUUAUUGUGAGCGGAUAAGAGGAAUCGAGGUUGAUCCUGCUAAAAAAAAAAGAAAGAAAAGAAGAAAAGAAAGAAAAGAAAAGGAAAAGCAAUACAAGAAA
rnacentral:lncRNA from 1 species